UAGAUUCCAUGCUGUAAAGUCAGAUCAGCUAUAGAUCUAUAUACCUUUCUAAGAAUCUAAUAUAUACACUGAGAAACUCAGUCAGUUUGUUUCAGGAAUAAACUAUCUAUGAAAGCAGUCAAGCCGUCUGCAGUGAACUCGCAUUGUUGUUUCAAGAUGGGUUGUAGACUGAGGUUCUUCUAUUCCAAGGGAGCAUUUCUGGUCCUGCUGUGGGUGUUCUUGCAGAGUGCUACAUGCUGGUCAAUUGUCUGCCUUUUUAAUCAGCUUUUCCGAGAUAUUCCACGCAGUUCGGUGUACUUUUAUGUUGCCCUCGUUCCUCUAGUACCACUUUUUGCUAUUGCACCACUGGCUGGGUGGUUAGCUGAUGCCCAUUAUGGAAACUUUAAGCGGGUGUUGUUCUGAGUCUGGUUGGGUUUGUACUUCACUGCCUCCUGGCUCAUUGGUAUAAGAAGAGAGUGAGAGACGAGAGUUAUCAGCCUCAGAGAGUCGUGGAGGAGGUGUAUGAUCGGUAUCUCUCAUAUUAUCACUGAACACUUUGUACCUUUAUUAUUGUGCUGUAUAUAAUUAUAUGCUCGAGAUAAAUUAUUACCUAUUUGCUACUUGUCUUAAGUUAACAGCCUCCUGUUAUUCUUUUUAAAUCGCCUAUUAUUCUCACAUUAUUCCUCCAAAGCACAAAAUUAUAGUUAUUCUACACUGUUAA